UUUAUUUAUAUCUUUGCUUCUUUAGGAGAUAUAAAGGAUACUAAUUUAUCCUUUUUUACGUAUUUCUUCCCCUAAACGUAAUCCCUUCUUAGUGGAUCUAUACAAUGCCAAAGGAACCUAUAACCAAAAUUUCAUGAUUCUAGCUUUAACGGUUUGGGCUGGGCGAUGAUGAAUCAGUCAGUCAAUCAGUCACGCAAGCCUUUUAUAUAUAGAUUGAGAGAAGGAGAAUGGAUAGUUAGCUGCUGGUUUCAUACCUACAUCCUGUACAAAAAUAUUUUAACAGAUUAAAGUCUACUAAACCAGAAUUCAACGAACACAUAAAUCCUAUGUCGCAAAACAGAAUUGGAUGUAAAACCAUUUCUCUUCUGCAGGGCGAUUUAAUACGAUUAACCUUAGAAUCCAAUACGCAUAUAUUAGGAUACAUCCCACCAACAAGGGCGGCUUUAAUGACAGAACAAUUCGAUUUGAGAUUUAUAUAAUGCAUACUAAGAUCAACUUUGCUAUAUAUUAAUUGUGAUGAUCUUAAGGAUCCAACCAAUUGAGUACGGAUAUUACAGUCCUGUUCCAACAGGCCAUUCAAAAUGAAAUUAUAUUAAAAUCAAAAACCAAUUCCUCAUUUCUAAAGUUAUUUUUCCAUUAUUGAUACAGACAAAAGGAUAUCAAGUGAUCGGAAGGAAUAACUUCAAAUAAACGUUGUUUUUCUUCUUUUAUAUUAUGACGCAAUAAAUCUUGAAGGGUUCAUUUAAAUGAUUCAUAUAGUGUGACAACUCUAAGGGAUCUAUAGUCGACAUAAAGCCCACAAUGGUUAGUACCGGAACCAAACAUUGCAACAAAGUAGCAAUCACCAUAUUUUGGCUCUUUGCUUGAUAGAAUACGAAUUUCGACUAGCCACUACCGAUGGGCGUCAACUUUUUUCUAUUAUGGAUUAUUUCAUGGCAGAAUAAUUUGUCCAGUUUGUUUUUUCAACUUUAGCAGUCGUUUUCAAACAAUAACAAAAAGCCAUCACUAUACCCCCAAAGAAUAUCAAGAAGAUCUACAUAUGUCACAUUUAAAGCAAAAAAUGCAACUUUAACAGUCCAUUAGCCCAUUCCGCAAGAGCAACGCCAUGUAGAUAAUCCGGAUUAAAUGAAUACGAGAUGACAAAAGUUAAUUUAUUUUCAAUAGCAG